UGGCGGCGUGCCUAAUACAUGCAAGUCGAACGAACUCUGGUAUUGAUUGGUGCUUGCAUCAUGAUUUACAUUUGAGUGAGUGGCGAACUGGUGAGUAACACGUGGGAAACCUGCCCAGAAGCGGGGGAUAACACCUGGAAACAGAUGCUAAUACCGCAUAACAACUUGGACCGCAUGGUCCGAGUUUGAAAGAUGGCUUCGGCUAUCACUUUUGGAUGGUCCCGCGGCGUAUUAGCUAGAUGGUGGGGUAACGGCUCACCAUGGCAAUGAUACGUAGCCGACCUGAGAGGGUAAUCGGCCACAUUGGGACUGAGACACGGCCCAAACUCCUACGGGAGGCAGCAGUAGGGAAUCUUCCACAAUGGACGAAAGUCUGAUGGAGCAACGCCGCGUGAGUGAAGAAGGGUUUCGGCUCGUAAAACUCUGUUGUUAAAGAAGAACAUAUCUGAGAGUAACUGUUCAGGUAUUGACGGUAUUUAACCAGAAAGCCACGGCUAACUACGUGCCAGCAGCCGCGGUAAUACGUAGGUGGCAAGCGUUGUCCGGAUUUAUUGGGCGUAAAGCGAGCGCAGGCGGUUUUUUAAGUCUGAUGUGAAAGCCUUCGGCUCAACCGAAGAAGUGCAUCGGAAACUGGGAAACUUGAGUGCAGAAGAGGACAGUGGAACUCCAUGUGUAGCGGUGAAAUGCGUAGAUAUAUGGAAGAACACCAGUGGCGAAGGCGGCUGUCUGGUCUGUAACUGACGCUGAGGCUCGAAAGUAUGGGUAGCAAACAGGAUUAGAUACCCUGGUAGUCCAUACCGUAAACGAUGAAUGCUAAGUGUUGGAGGGUUUCCGCCCUUCAGUGCUGCAGCUAACGCAUAAGCAUCCGCCUGGGGAGACGCCCCCGGGGCUGAAACUCAAAGGAAUUGACGGGGGCCCGCACAAGCGGUGGAGCAUGUGGUUUAAUUC
rnacentral:rRNA from 1 species